UUCUCGUUCCACGCUAUCAUCUCCUCUCUCCCCGCUUUUCAGAUCCUCAUUAAAUUUCUCAUCAUCUCGUUCUUCUCGCCAUCAUAUCGUGGUCAAAGCCACCGAUGACUCUUCCAACCUAUCCGGUGAUGAUCUUUUUCGAUCUUUCCCGUGGUUCCAAUCCGACUCUGAGUAAGAAACAGAAGGCAGCAAAGAGAGGGAGAGAGAGAGAGCAGAACCAAGACGGAAAGAAGGAGAGACAGGACAAGUUCCUCCACUUCUUCUUCUACUUAUAUGAGUGCUUGCUUCAUCUGGGUCAUCACAGACACACACAAAUAGAAGAAAGAAAAGAAUGAAACGGAGUUGAGGGAGAAGGGAGGAGUGACCGAAACUUCAAUUUUGUGUGGCUAGGAUUUUUAAUUCAAGGAAGAAGCACAAACAGAAUUUUGAACUUCAAAAGAGAAAUUCAAUGGGUUCAUGAGGAUAGAAUUACAUUGUUCACCGCUGAUGGACUGGUGCAGAUUGGAGGCUCCAUCACCCCUCGCCAUGUUAGCUCUUCAGAUGUAUGAUUUUAUUAUGCAAU